CUACGGGAGGCAGCAGUGGGGAAUAUUGCACAAUGGGGGAAACCCUGAUGCAGCCAUGCCGCGUGUGUGAAGAAGGCCUUCGGGUUGUAAAGCACUUUCAGCGAGGAGGAAAGGUUGGUAGCUAAUAACUGCCAGCUGUGACGUUACUCGCAGAAGAAGCACCGGCUAACUCCGUGCCAGCAGCCGCGGUAAUACGGAGGGUGCAAGCGUUAAUCGGAAUUACUGGGCGUAAAGCGCACGCAGGCGGUUGGAUAAGUUAGAUGUGAAAGCCCCGGGCUCAACCUGGGAAUUGCAUUUAAAACUGUCCAGCUAGAGUCUUGUAGAGGGGGGUAGAAUUCCAGGGGUAGCGGUGAAAUGCGUAGAGAUCUGGAGGAAUACCGGUGGCGAAGGCGGCCCCCUGGACAAAGACUGACGCUCAGGUGCGAAAGCGUGGGGAGCAAACAGGAUUAGAAACCCCGGUAGUCC
rnacentral:rRNA from 1 species